rnacentral:rRNA from 1 species
CCAGCCCGCUCAAGAAACUUAAAGGAAUUGGACGGGGACCCGCACAAGCAGCGGAGCGUGUGGUUUAAUUCGAUGCUACACGAAGAACCUUACCAGGGUUUGACAUGCAAGUGGUAGUGAGCCGAAAGGUAAACGACCCUCGGGGAGCUUGCACAGGUGCUGCAUGGCUGUCGUCAGCUCGUGUCGUGAGAUGUUCGGUUAAGUCCGCUAACGAGCGCAACCCUCACUGUGUGUUACAAGUGUCACACGGGACUGCCGGUUUUAAGCCGGAGGAAGGUGAGGAUGACGUCAAGUCAGCAUGGCCUUUAUGUCCUGGGCUACACACACGCUACAAUGGUCGGUACAACAGGUUGCCAAGCCGCGAGGCGGAGCCAAUCCCUAAAGCCGGCCUCAGUUCAGAUUGUAGGCUGCAACUCGCCUGCAUGAAGCUGGAGUUGCUAGUAACCGCAGGUCAGCUAUACUGCGGUGAAUACGUUCCCGGGUCUU